rnacentral:rRNA from 1 species
AUGUAUAUUUGUCUUGAUGCCUGCAAAAAGGGUUUCCUAGCUGGUUGUAGAAGAGUUGUGGGGUUAGAUGGUUGUUUUCUGAAGGGGUCAGUGUCAGGUCAAAUAUUGUGUGCAAUUGGCAGAGAUGCCAACAAUCAAAUGUACCCUAUAGCAUGGGCCAUAGUUGAGGUUGAAUCAUAUGACUCAUGGUAUUGGUUCAUGUCAUUGCUUCAGAAGUAUCUGCAGAUAAGCAACCAUGGAGAUGGAUGGGUCUUCAUAUCUGAUCAACAAAAGGGACUCAUCAGAUCUAUCAAUGAAAUUGUGCCUGAAGCGGAGCAUAGAAUGUGUGCUAGGCAUAUUUAUGCCAACUAG